rnacentral:rRNA from 1 species
GUGGGGAAUAUUGGGCAAUGGAGGCAACUCUGACCCAGCAACGCCGCGUGAAGGAUGAAGGUUUUCGGACUGUAAACUUCUGUUAUAGAGGAAAAAGAAAGUGAUGGUACUCUAUGAGAAAGCUACGGCAAACUAUGUGCCAGCAGCCGCGGUAAUACAUAGGUAGCAAGCGUUAUCCGGAAUAACUGGGCGUAAAGGGAGUGUAGGUGGUUAUGUAAGUCACAUGUGAAAGCCUUGGGCUAAACCCAAGAAAUGCAUGUGAUACUGUGUAACUAGAGUGUGAGAGGGGUAAGUGGAAUUCCUAGUGUAGCGGUAGAAUGCGUAGAGAUUAGGAGGAACACCAGAGGCGAAGGCGGCUUACUGGCUCAUAACUGACACUGAGGCUCGAAAGCGUGGGGAGCAAACAGGAUUAGAUACCCCAGUAGUCC